CGAGCUACAACACAAGAGGGGGUCCAUAAGCACGUUCACAGGUCGGGCGGGAGGGUCUACCUUGUGUAUUGAAGGUGCCUGGCACCUUCGUCUCACUGAGGCCACUAAACGUUGAUGAAAGUCAUUCUAUAUCCAAGGAUGGGCAAGGUUAUCUUGGAUGUGGAACCUAUAUAAGUCGCCCUCAGCUCCCACUUUGUCUCCAGCGUCGUCUACUACUACGAUCAGCAGCCAUGAAAUUCGCCCUCUUGAUCCUCGUGCUCAUGCCCCUGGUUUACUGUCAGACUUCAUCGAUCAGUUCCUCAAAUUGUUUGACGUGGAGAGCUGAAGGCCGUUGUCCAGAAGAUUGCUGACAACGUGGGAUCUAACGGCACCGAGGCCGCUUGUGAGACAGAGUGCACAGCCAUCUUGAUGCACAAUGCGCUCCUCUCCAGCG